rnacentral:rRNA from 1 species
UACGGGGGGGGCAAGCGUUGUUCGGAAUUACUGGGCGUAAAGGGCGUGUAGGCGGCCAACUAAGUCCGACGUGAAAUCCCCAGGCUUAACCUGGGAACUGCGUCGGAUACUGGAUGGCUUGAAUCCGGGAGAGGGAUGCGGAAUUCCAGGUGUAGCGGUGAAAUGCGUAGAUAUCGUGAGGAACACCAGAGGCGAAGGCGGCUACCUGGACAAUUGCUGACGCUCAGGCACGAAAGCGUGGGGAGCAAAAGGG